rnacentral:rRNA from 1 species
CACGGGUGCGUAACGCGUAUGCAACCUGCCCCCAGUCAGGGGGAAUAGCCCGCCGAAAGGCGGAUUAAUGCCCCAUAGGCCCAGGGCGCCGCACGGCGCUAUGGGUAAAGCUCCGGCGGAUGGGGAUGGGCAGUGCGUGCCAUUAGCUAGUUGGGGCGGUAACGGCGCACCAAGGCGACGAUGGCCUAGGGGGUCUGAGAGGAUGGUCCCCCACACUGGUACUGAGACACGGACCAGACUCCUACGGGAGGCAGCAGUGAGGAAUAUUGGUCAAUGGGCGGAAGCCUGAACCAGCCAUGCCGCGUGCAGGAUGACGGCCCUACGGGUUGUAAACUGCUUUUCCCCGGGAAGAAUAAGCCCCUCGUGAGGGGUGAUGCCGGUACCGGGGGAAUAAGGAUCGGCUAACUCCGUGCCAGCAGCCGC